rnacentral:rRNA from 1 species
AGAGAGAGACAUGCGCGCAUAUCAAUAAGCGGAGGAAAAGAAACUAACUAGGAUUCCCCUAGUAACGGCGAGUGAAGCGGGAAGAGCUCAAAUUUGAAAUCUUAAAGGGUUUCCCUUUACGAAUUGUAGUUUAAAGAAGUGUUUUCUGUUGAGGUUUUGGUAGAAGUUCUUUGGAAUAGGACAUCAUAGAGGGAUGAGAAUCCCGUAUUUGACCAUUACUUUCAACUGUGUGAUACACUUUCAAAGAGUCGGAUUGUUUGGGAAUGCAGUCCAAAAUGGGUGGUAAAUUUCAUCUAAAGCUAAAUAUUGGCGAGAGACCGAUAGCGAACAAGUACCGUGAGGGAAAGAUGAAAAGAACUUUGAAAAGAGAGUUAAACAGUACGUGAAAUUGUCAAAAGGGAAGCGUUUGACACCAGUGUUGUUUUUCUGAAAAUCAAUUAAAGAACUGUUUAUGCUAAGUUGUUUAGACUUUAUCAGCUAACUGUUUAGUUUUGAGCUUUUCUUUAAUGCACUUUUCAGUUAACAAGUCAACAUCAAUUUCUUUUGCUGUAAAAAAGCUUGAGGAAGGUGGCUUGAGAUUCGUCUUAAGUGUUUAUAGCCUCUUGCCUAUGCAGUCGGAGAGAUUGAGGUCUGCAGCGUAGAUCCUUCGGGGCUAAAUGCAUUUGUGCUAAGUUAUAGCAUUUUAUAGACAACUUGUUGACUAUGAUUUGUCUUGUAGCUUACUCGCUUAUGUUAUUUUACCUACGCUUAGGAUGUUGAGCGCAUGUCUCUCUCU